rnacentral:lncRNA from 15 species
UGUUGGUGAUGAUGAGUGGGAUACCACGAAGAAUCCCGAAGAGGUCAAAAAACCUGUGGCGUCGGAAGAAGAGAGAGAGAGAGAGAGAGAGAAAGAGAGAGAGAGAGAACUGAGGUGUGAAUGCCGAAGUAGGAAGGCAUCUCUUCAUGGAGAAAAAAGGAAAAAGACUGGAGCA